CCUACGGGUGGCAGCAGUGGGGAAUAUUGCACAAUGGAGGAAACCCUGAUGCAGCGACGCCGCGUGAGUGAAGAAGCGUUUCGGCGCGUAAAGCUCUGUCAGCGGGGAAGAAACACGGUUCGCGAGAGCCGCGGACGGUACCCGACCCAGAAGCCGCGGCUCACUCCGUGCCAGCAGCCGCGGUAAUACGUAGGGGGCAAGCGUUAUCCGGAAUUACUGGGUGGAAAGGGAGCGUAGACGGUUAAGUAAGUCUGGAGUGAAAGGCCGGGGCCCAACCCCGGGACUGCUCUGGAAACUAGUGAACUUGAGUGCAGGAGAGGGAAGCGGAAUUCCUAGUGUAGCGGUGAAAUGCGUAGAUAUUAGGAGGAACACCAGUGGCGAAGGCGGCUUACUGGACUGUAACUGACGUUGAGGCUCGAAAGCGUGGGGAGCAAACAGGAUUAGAUACCCCAGUAGUC
rnacentral:rRNA from 1 species